UUUUUCUGCCUCCGCCUCUGGUCGUCUCGUUGUGCUCCAGGAUGCUCUAACUUCCAUGAACCCUUGCGUGCUGCAGGUGGAGCUUGCUUUUUCUAAAAAGACUGGUGACACUCCAUCCUCGAUCUACACUGAGGGAACACUGUGAUCUGAAUAUUUCGGAAACAUUGGUGCAAAGAGACUCCAUGGAUAACAUACAUGCCUCUUAUUGGGAUCGCUAUUAAUGUGGAUUCACCUGCGAACUUGC